UACGGAGGGGGCUAGCGUUGUUCGGAAUUACUGGGCGUAAAGCGCACGUAGGCGGCUUUGCAAGUUAGAGGUGAAAGCCCGGGGCUCAACUCCGGAAUUGCCUUUAAAACUGCAUCGCUAGAAUUGUGGAGAGGUAAGUGGAAUUCCGAGUGUAGAGGUGAAAUUCGUAGAUAUUCGGAAGAACACCAGUGGCGAAGGCGACUUACUGGACACAUAUUGACGCUGAGGUGCGAAAGCGUGGGGAACAAACAGG
rnacentral:rRNA from 1 species